rnacentral:lncRNA from 1 species
UCUAGCCUUAGGGUUGUCACUCAUCCCACACAGCUAUUAAGAGAACCACCUAACUGCAAGGCCUGCUCCCACCACACAAGUAGCUCCCAUGGCAGCUACAAGGCCCUCAACUAUAAUGACUACUGCUCUUCCAUCCCUGGUGUUACAAUUUUUUUUUUUUUGUUCCAGGUUUAUUCCUAAAGAAGGAUGUUUUUAGUUUUUGUCUUGGGGGAAAAACUCUUAAGUUCAUUUGGAAUUUCUCUUACUCAACUAUUAAACGGAGAAGAUAAUCCAAUUACAUUUUUAUUAUUUACAUGCAAUUUCACCCUGGGAAAGUAAAAGGCAAACGAUCUUAAAACCUUUCAUGUGUCUUCUUUUGUUCUUCCAACUUCUUAAGCUAUAGGAAAUCUUAUAUUCCCUUCAAACUCAGUUAUGACUCAUUAGAAUGAUGUUAUAAUUGGAUCAAACUAAAAGUGGCCCACCUGAUAAUUAGAUUAACGGGCAUCUAAGUUACCAUAAUUCUACUUCAGUGAUGCUCCUUGCUAAUACCCAACAAUAUGGCCCCUCUUAUAUUCCUUUGUCUGAACGCUGUUCAGGAAUAUUAAUCCUACAACUUCUGUCUCCAAUUAGCCUCAGCGACCCUAAUGCAAACAGCUCUCCUAGCCCCUCCUAGUAUACCAGAUUUUUCUAAAAUACUAUGCAAAUUAAACUCCCAGGCAUCGUGCCUAGUCUUCCUUCACUCUGUGCUAGCCCUGGGCAUGAAGAGUUGAAGAAGAAACUGCUACAGUCUCAAGUGGCUCUGCAUUUGUCAAGCCAGCAAACCACUGAGCAUCACGGUGUUGGAAUGUUGUAGAUUGCUGCACUGGGUGCUGACAGUUCUUAGAAAAGCAUAUUGGUUGGAAAAAACCAAGGAAUUCCCCAGCUUGCACCAGGGACAGCACCUUGCAAAGCCUGCAGUGGAUUCAGGGAGGCACGGGGACACUCUGAGCUGGAAGGAAAGGCAAAACUGUGUUUCGCUUGGUUAUUUGGUUUUCCCUUCUGACAGGUUGCCAGAAUCCCUACUUUCAAAGAUAAACUGCUGUUCUAAGACAACCUGUGUAGCUCCUUGGACAGUAACAAAUUAACUGAAAAGUAAAGUUUCCUU